GGGCUCAUAGUAAAACGGUAUUACGCGGCAUUCGCAUUGCCGAGGUCCGGGUCCGAUUCCCGGUGAGUCCACCA
rnacentral:tRNA from 2 species